CUGGCGGCGUGCUUAACACAUGCAAGUCGAGCGAUGAAGCUCCUUCGGGAGUGAAUUAGCGGCGGACGGGUGAGUAACACGUGGGUAACCUGCCUCAUAGAGGGGAAUAGCCUUUCGAAAGGAAGAUUAAUACCGCAUAAGAUUGUAGUACCGCAUGGUACAGCAAUUAAAGGAGUAAUCCGCUAUGAGAUGGACCCGCGUCGCAUUAGCUAGUUGGUGAGGUAACGGCUCACCAAGGCGACGAUGCGUAGCCGACCUGAGAGGGUGAUCGGCCACAUUGGGACUGAGACACGGCCCAGACUCCUACGGGAGGCAGCAGUGGGGAAUAUUGCACAAUGGGGGAAACCCUGAUGCAGCAACGCCGCGUGAGUGAUGACGGCCUUCGGGUUGUAAAACUCUGUCUUUGGGGACGAUAAUGACGGUACCCAAGGAGGAAGCCACGGCUAACUACGUGCCAGCAGCCGC
rnacentral:rRNA from 1 species